AGGAAAGAGAUACUCACACCAUCUCCAGAAGAAAUCUGGAGUUUUUUUUAAGUAAGAAUCACGGAGAUAGCUUGUUUGUCCUGCAUAAACACAUUACUCCAGAAGACAACAUCAAAGACAGCAGAACUGUUGUGAACAUCCUCAGGAUGAAAUACAAUUGUUUAUUGUGUGUCUUGGUAACAGAAAAUUCAAUACAUCAUUGGCCUCUGACUAUCCAUCUCAUUUCCAGUCUUCACAAUAUCUGGACAUGGACAACAGCUGCAUAUUCCCUGCUAUCUCCAUAUUGAAUGAGUGUUACAGAGAACACAGAAUAGCAAGAUGAACCAAACAGCUGAACAACCAACACACGAACAGACAAAAGUAUCCUCUUUUACUUCAGUUGGAAAAUCCACUGUAAACUUAGUUUUAAAAGGUGGGGAUAUUUUCUUUCUUUUUUUUUUUUUCCUCACUACCUGAAUAGUGCUGGACAACAAUAUUACAAAAUGUUAAUGUAACUCUCCUGCAAAGUCAGGUUUGCUGGACAGAAAUCCAUAGCACACAUCUUGUUUUAUUAACCGAAGCAAUGCAGAUUUAUAUAAAUACUUGAGGUAAAAUUUAAUUUUUUAAUGCUGCUAACUAACCAGAAAGCAUGUGAAUGAAAAUGUAUUAUUGUCUACUGGUUAGUUUUACCAGA